rnacentral:lncRNA from 1 species
GGCCAAUAAAGAAACUCUGAUAGCAACUCAUCCUCUUUGUCCCAAAUCUCCCUCCUCUCGUUGCUCUCAUCUAUUGGCAAAUCCACUCAGAAAAUCAAUCUAAGACAAUAGAAUAGCAGUCCGCAUGCAUAAUAGCCUCUCUCCUCUUGUUCCAUCUGACCAACUACUAAAUUGAUUUGAUUAUUGAACUGCAAAACUCACUCGGGCUUCGCGCUCUUCCGAACCAACCAACCUUGGUGGUUGUUCUCUUCCGGCUGAUCCUCUUUCCAUCUGGGCGGGUAGGAGGGUAGACUUUUUAAGAGCCC